AUUGAACGCUGGCGGCAGGCCUAACACAUGCAAGUCGAGCGGGGUUUUCGGACCUAGCGGCGGACGGGUGAGUAAUGCGUAGGAAGCUACCCGAUAGAGGGGGAUACCAGUUGGAAACGACUGUUAAUACCGCAUAAUGUCUACGGACCAAAGUGUGGGACCUUCGGGCCACAUGCUAUCGGAUGCGCCUACGUGGGAUUAGCUAGUUGGUGAGGCAAUGGCUCACCAAGGCGACGAUCCCUAGCUGGUUUGAGAGGAUGAUCAGCCACACUGGAACUGAGACACGGUCCAGACUCCUACGGGAGGCAGCAGUGGGGAAUAUUGGACAAUGGGCGCAAGCCUGAUCCAGCCAUGCCGCGUGUGUGAAGAAGGCCUUCGGGUUGUAAAGCACUUUCAGUAGGGAGGAAGCGUUGUGUGUUAAUAGUAUACAGCGUUGACGUUACCUACAGAAGAAGCACCGGCUAACUCUGUGCCAGCCGCCGCCGUAAGAC
rnacentral:rRNA from 1 species